AUACGGAGGAUCCAAGCGUUAUCCGGAUUUAUUGGGUUUAAAGGGUGCGCAGGCGGAAGAUUAAGUCGGCGGUGAAAUUUUGCAGCUCAACUGUAAAAGUGCCAUCGAUACUGGUUUUCUUGAGUGUGGAUGAAGUAGGCGGAAUUUGUGGUGUAGCGGUGAAAUGCAUAGAUAUCACGAGGAACUCCGAUUGCGCAGGCAGCUUACUAGGCCAUAACUGACGCUCAGGCACGAAGGCGUGGGGAUCAAACAGGAUUAGAUACCCUGGUAGUCCACGCAGUAAACGAUGAUUACUCGCAGUUUGCGAUACACAGUAAGCGGCUUAGCGGAAGCGUUAAGUAAUCCACCUGGGGAGUACGUUCGCAAGAAUGAAACUCAAAUGAAUUGACGGGG
rnacentral:rRNA from 1 species